rnacentral:rRNA from 1 species
UACGAAGGGUGCAAGCGUUACUCGGAAUUACUGGGCGUAAGCGCGCGUAGGCGGUUACUCAAGUCAGAGGUGGAAAGCCCCGGGGCUCAACCCCGGAACUGCCUUUGAAACUAGGUGACUAGAAUCUUGGAGAGGUCAGUGGAAUUCCGAGUGUAGAGGUGAAAUUCGUAGAUAUUCGGAAGAACACCAGUGGCGAAGGCGACUGACUGGACAAGUAUUGACGCUGAGGUGCGAAAGCGUGGGGAGCAAACAGG